AGGACAAACUUUUGGACCAAAGGAUGCACAGCAGCUGGGCCAACAAGACCCACAGCAAAUCGUGGUGCUCAGCCCCUACAUCUGGGAGAAGCUUUUCCUGACCUCGCUGGUAACCCUGCAAAGCGUAAAUGCAAAAGAGGAGGAUCCUGGUACCUAGAACAACCAUUUUUUGGGCAGCAGGAGCCUGCCCCUGCCUGCCGGGGCUCGUCUGUCCCUCGCCUCCUCUACAGGCUGCUGCCAGCCCCAGCUUUCCAGCAAAAGCUCAGGUGCCCAGACCACUGCCAUUUUUUAUUUGAGUAAUGGCCAGAGUUAUAAAGGAUAAGCCACCACAAGACAAAAUUUUCUCAGAGUAUUUUUCUGCUAUGAACUUCUGGAAAUAUCAAAAGAAACCAAGUUGGUGUGAAGCAGUUGUCCCAUGAGAAGAACCAGGCUGGGUACACUCACAGUUACCAAUGUUUUGUGACACUGGACUUCCAGCACAUGCAUGUUUCCUGUUAUUUCAUCAAAGACUUGGAUUUCUUUUUGGUGACAUAAUUUGUCAACACAUGCAGUUCGUAACAGAAAAAAGGUUGAUCAAAGAA